rnacentral:piRNA from 1 species
UUGGGAACCUAAGCCUCUACUAAGU